rnacentral:misc_RNA from 1 species
AAGUCGUAACAAGGUUUCCGUAGGUGAACCUGCGGAAGGAUCAUUACAAAUUAUGGCGAACUUCGCGUUUCGCGAGGUUUUGCGUUCACUUUUCGUAUUUAAAACAUCCCACUCUAAAAAAAAAAUUAUCUAAUGAUAAAUAAAAAAGAUCACUUUCAACAACGGAUCUCUUGGUUCUC